rnacentral:rRNA from 1 species
CCUACGGGUGGCAGCAGUGAGGAAUAUUGGUCAAUGGGCGGGAGCCUGAACCAGCCAAGUCGCGUGAAGGAAGAAGGUACUGAGUAUUGUAAACCUCUUUUGCCAGGGGACAAAGGCGGCCACGGGUGGCCGGAAGAGGGUACCUGGAGAAAAAGCAUCGGCUAACUCCGUGCCAGCAGCCGCGGUAAUACGGAGGAUGCGAGCGUUAUCCGGAUUUAUUGGGGGUAAAGGGGGCGCAGACGGCGAUGCAAGUCAGGAGGGAAAGCCCGGGGCCCAACCCCGGGACUGCUCUUGAAACUGCGUGGCUGGAGUGCAGGAGGGGCAGGCGGAAUUCCUGGUGUAGCGGUGAAAUGCGUAGAUAUCAGGAGGAACACCGGUGGCGAAGGCGGCCUGCUGGACUGCAACUGACGUUGAGGCCCGAAAGCGUGGGGAGCAAACAGGAUUAGAUACCCUGGUAGUC